rnacentral:rRNA from 1 species
UACGAAGGGGGCUAGCGUUGUUCGGAUUUACUGGGCGUAAAGCGCGCGUAGGCGGACCUGCAAGUCGGGGGUGAAAGCCCGAGGCUCAACCUCGGAACUGCCUUCGAUACUGCGGGUCUCGAGUCCGGGAGAGGUGAGUGGAAUUCCUAGUGUAGAGGUGAAAUUCGUAGAUAUUAGGAAGAACACCAGUGGCGAAGGCGGCUCACUGGCCCGGUACUGACGCUGCGGCGCGAAAGCGUGGGGAGCAAACAGG